rnacentral:tRNA from 1 species
GGCGCUAUGGUGUAGUUGGUUAACACGCCGCCCUCUCAAGGCGGAGACCACGAGUUCGAGCCUCGUUAGCGCUA